UGGGGAAUAUUGCGCAAUGGGCGAAAGCCUGACGCAGCAACGCCGCGUGAGUGAUGAAGGCCUUCGGGUCGUAAAGCUCUGUCGGAGGGAACGAAUGCUCUUGGAGUUAACAGCUUCAGGAGGUGACGGUACCCUCAAAGGAAGCACCGGCUAACUCUGUGCCAGCAGCCGCGGUAAUACAGAGGUGGCAAGCGUUGUUCGGAAUUACUGGGCGUAAAGGGCGCGUAGGCGGCCCUCUAAGUCAGACGUGAAAUCCCCCGGCUUAACCUGGGAACUGCGUCUGAUACUGGAGGGCUUGAGUAUGGGAGAGGGAUGUAGAAUUCCAGGUGUAGCGGUGAAAUGCGUAGAUAUCUGGAGGAAUACCGGUGGCGAAGGCGGCAUCCUGGACCAUUACUGACGCUGAGGCGCGAAAGCU
rnacentral:rRNA from 1 species